GUGAGGAAUAUUGGACAAUGGGCGCAAGCCUGAUCCAGCCAUGCCGCGUGCAGGAAGACGCAUCUAUGGUGUGUAAACUGCUUUUGUACGGGAAGAAACACUCCCUCGUGAGGGAGCUUGACGGUACCGUAAGAAUAAGGAUCGGCUAACUCCGUGCCAGCAGCCGCGGUAAUACGGAGGAUCCAAGCGUUAUCCGGAAUCAUUGGGUUUAAAGGGGCCGUAGGCGGUUUAAUAAGUCAGUGGUGAAAGCCCAUCGCUCAACGAUGGAACGGCAAUUGAUACUGUUAGACUUGAAUUACAAGGAAGUAACUAGAAUAUGUAGUGUAGCGGUGAAAUGCUUAGAUAUUACAUGGAAUACCAAUUGCGAAGGCAGGUUACUACUUGUGGAUUGACGCUGAUGGACGAAAGCGUGGGGAGCGAACAGGAUUAGAAACCCCAGUAGUCC
rnacentral:rRNA from 1 species